AUUCGCGCGACGGGUUUCGCAGAAAUAAGCCCCCGGCUAACUACGUGGCCAGGCAGGCGGGGGUAAUAGGGUAGGGAUGCAAGCGUUAAUCGGAAUACUGGGAGGUAAAGCGUGGGGUAGGGCGGUAGGAUAAUGAAUAUGACUCGCAGCGCCUCCAUCCUGGGACUGCAUUUUUAACUGGCGAGCUAGGAGGUAUGUCAGAGGGGGGGUAGAACUUCACGUGUAGCAGUGAAAUGCGUAGAUAUGUGGAGGAAUACCGAUGGCGAAGGGCAGCUCCCUGGGAUAUACUGACGCUCAGACACGAAAGGGGUGGGGAGCAAACAGGAUUAGAUACCCUGGUAGUCCACGCCCUAAACGAUGUCAACUAGCUGUUGGGGCCGUUAGGCCUUAGUAGCGCAGCUAACGCGUGAAGUUGACCGCCUGGGGAGUACGGUCGCAAGAUUAAAACUCAAAGGAAUUGACGCGGACCCGCACAAGCGGUGGAUGUAUGUGGAUUAAUUCGAUGCAACGCGAAAAACCUUACCUACCCUUGACAUGUAUGGAAAGCCGAAGAGAUUUGGCCGUGCUCGCAAGAGAACCGGAACACAGGUGCUGCAUGGCUGUCGUCAGCUCGUGUCGUCAGAUGUUGGGUUAAGUCCCGCAACGAGCGCAACCCUUGUCAUUAGUUGAUACGCAAGAGCACUAUAAUGAGCCUGCCGGUGACAAACCGGAGGAAGGUGGGGAUGACGUCAAGUCCUCUAACCCUUAUGGGUAGGGCUUCACAAGUCAUGCAUUGGUCGGGACAGAGCCUCGCCAACCCGGGAGGGGGAGCCAAUCUCAGAAACCCGAUCGUAAUCCGGAUCGCAGUCUGCAACUAGACUGCGUGAAGUAGGAAUUGGUAGUAAUCGGGGAUCGGAAGGUCGCGCUGAAUACGUUCCCGGGUCUUGUACACCCCGCCCGUCACGCCAUGGGAGUGGGUUUCACCAGAAGUAGGUAGCCUAACCGUAAGGAGGGCGCUUACCACGGUGGGACUCAUACAAGUGACGUACGGCCGCGUCACCGCGAAAAGCA
rnacentral:rRNA from 1 species